rnacentral:rRNA from 1 species
UACAGAGGUGGCAAGCGUUGUUCGGAAUUACUGGGCGUAAAGGGCGCGUAGGCGCCUUCUAAGUCAGACGUGAAAUCCCCGGGCUUAACCUGGGACUGCGUUUGAAACUGGAAGGCUUGAGUGUGGCAGAGGGGGGUGGAAUUCCACGUGUAGCAGUGAAAUGCGUAGAGAUGUGGAGGAACACCGAUGGCGAAGGCAGCCCCCUGGGCUAACACUGACGCUCAUGCACGAAAGCGUGGGGAGCAAACAGG